rnacentral:SRP_RNA from 13 species
CGGGAGGAAGCAGCGGCAGCGAGGGCGGCGGGGGCAUGAU